rnacentral:rRNA from 1 species
UACGGGGGGGGCAAGCGUUGUUCGGAAUUACUGGGCGUAAAGGGAUUGUAGGCGGCCAACUAAGUCAGACGUGAAAUCCCUCGGCUUAACCGGGGAACUGCAUCUGAUACUGGAUGGCUUGAGAUUGGGAGAGGGAUGCGGAAUUCCAGGUGUAGCGGUGAAAUGCGUAGAUAUCUGGAGGAACACCGGUGGCGAAGGCGGCAUCCUGGACCAACACUGACGCUGAGGAGCGAAAGCCAGGGGAGCAAACGGG